rnacentral:rRNA from 1 species
CCAGCGAACUUGGCAGAGAUGCCUUGGUGCCUUCGGGAACGCUGAGACAGGUGCUGCAUGGCUGUCGUCAGCUCGUGUUGUGAAAUGUUGGGUUAAGUCCCGCAACGAGCGCAACCCUUAUCCUUUGUUGCCAGCGAUUCGGUCGGGAACUCAAAGGAGACUGCCGGUGAUAAACCGGAGGAAGGUGGGGAUGACGUCAAGUCAUCAUGGCCCUCACGAGUAGGGCUACACACGUGCUACAAUGGCGCAUACAAAGAGAAGCGACCUCGCGAGAGCAAGCGGACCUCAUAAAGUGCGUCGUAGUCCGGAUCGGAGUCUGCAACUCGACUCCGUGAAGUCGGAAUCGCUAGUAAUCGUGGAUCAGAAUGCCACGGUGAAUACGUUCCCGGGCCUUGUACACACCGCCCGUCACACCAUGGGAGUGGGUUGCAAAAGAAGUAGGUAGCUUAACCUCCGGGAGGGCGCUUACCACUUUGUGAUUCAUGACUGGGGUGAAGUCGUAACAAGGUAAGCGUAGCGAG